rnacentral:rRNA from 1 species
UACGUAGGGUGCGAGCGUGUCCGGAAUUAUUGGGCGUAAAGAGCUCGUAGGUGGCGGGUCACGUCGGGUGUGAAAGCCCGGGGCUUAACUCCGGGUCUGCAUUCGAUACGGGUCUGCUGGGGUCCGGCAGGGGGGACUGGAAUUCCUGGUGUAGCGGUGAAAUGCGCAGAUAUCAGGAGGAACACCGGUGGCGAAGGCGGGGUCUCUGGGCCGGUACCGACGCUGGAGGAGCGAAAGCGUGGGGAGCGAACAGG